CCUGCUUCUCGGCCUUUUAGCUAAGAUCAAGUGUAGUAUCUCUUCUUAUCCGCUUAGUAUCGGAUACGUCCUCUAUCCAAGGACAAUAUAUUAAAUAGAUUUUUGGAACUAUGAGUUGGAAUAGGAGCUUGCUCCACCCACUCCACACAUCACUCUGGCAUUGCAGUUCCUCCAGGAAUGGUGCACAAGAA